AUGUCCACAGCAAGCCUAAACAGAUGGUGGAGCGGCUCCAUUACAAGGAUGAAGAGCAUGGGGGACAAAGGCCCACCUUGCCGUAGUCCUUUGCAGUUGAAUAUCGGAGCUCCGGGAACGCCAUUAACCAUGAUGCGGGUAGAAGAGGUGACAAGCAGGCCCGCAAUCCACUCCAGCCAUCUACUGCCAAAGCCCAAAGCACGGAGGACUUCGAACAAAAAAGGCCACUGCACCGUGUCGAAUGCUUUAGAAAUAUCCAGCUUAAGCAUGAUUGCAGGUUGCCGUAGCGCGUGCAGCUGUCUCGCAGUGCUCUGGACCAACAUGAAGUAUGUUAUAAUCAGAUUCAAUUUGAGCCCAAUCGAUCAUUAG
rnacentral:rRNA from 1 species